AGGCUCCUGUUCAAUUGUUGAGUCUUCUGGCUCAUUAGAUUUGAGUUGAUUUAGUUGCCUCUGCAGCUCUGCAUGAUCAACAAAUAGGAAAAGCUGUCAGUAACAAUAAGAAUAAUUACCGGUACAUCCCCAGCGGCACAACAGCUCUGAGAAGUUUCCGCUUGCAGUUCCAAGCUAUUUCGAGGAGCUUCUAAUCCUGCAGAGUAGUUGAAUGUGCAUUACUUGUCAAGCUGGAUAGAAAAUAAAAUUAGUUGGCAUAAUUGCAUUUAAUCACUCAUGUAAUUGUACAAGGGAUUUGUCUGAGCCUGGCACCUAUUAGGUCUAAUGGCAUAAGGAAUCAGGAACUUGCAGACUAAAAGAGUCCAGGACUGUCUCGGUAGGCAUCAAAUGAGCAUCUCCCUUCAACUCAAAUUGGGCAGACCUCAUUCAAAUCCAAGACAAUAAGUUAAAAUUUUUAGUUUACUGCCUACAGAACCAACUUUGUAUUGCCUUCAUUUAACUCACACUAUUACAAAUUAGUGGAAAUUCUGUGUAAGAAUCAACAAAGUUCACAUCAAGAAGAUGCUUAAUGUUAAAUGGCUCAUAGCAUGACAACCCUGAAACCACUAAAUAAGAGAGAAUCACCCAUUUGGCAGCAAAGGGCACUCCAAUGGUCUCUUAUAAUUCAGAUUUGAAAUAUAGUUAACAAAUUGGUGUGCUCAGUUCCCCAUGUGCAUCCAAUAAAAUGAUAAUAAUCAAUAAUUAAAAUUACCAUCAA